CGUUGAGGCGCAGCGGUAUAUUAUGAACUUUCCGGGGGUAAAGCUCUGUUUAGGUGCGGGCUGCGAAAGCGGUACCAAUCUUUUGCAAACUAAGAAUACCGGAAAUGAUUUCAAUCUACCAGUGAGACUGCGGGGGACAAGCUUCGUAGUCAAGAGGGAAACAGCCCAGACCACCAGCUAAGGCUCCUAAAUAAAAACUAAGUGGCAAAGGAGGUGAAAAUGCAGUGACAAUCAGGAGGUUUGCCUAGAAGCAGCCACCCUUUAAAGAGUGCGUAAUAGCUCACUGAUCAAGCGUUUUCGCGCCGAAAAUGACCGGAACUAAGUUUUUUGCCGAAGCUGUGGCUACAUCACAUAGAUGAUGUAGGGUAGAGGAGCGUUCCGUCCAGGGGGAAGCCAAGCGCGUAAGCCGCGGUCGACAGGACGGAAGUGAGAAUGUCAGAUUGAGUAACGUAAACAUUGGUGAGAAUCCAAUGCCCCGAAAACUCAAGGGUUCCUGCGCAAGGCUCGUCCGCGCAGGGUCAGUCAGGACCUAAGGUGAGGCCGAAAGGCGUAAUUGAUGGCAAGAAGGUUUAUAUUCCUUCACUAAUCUAGGCUUAGUCCUGAGGGACGAACAAAUAACACUCGGCACAACGGCCACACUUGGCAGUAUGGAUAAACCCGUUGCUGUUUGAUGCUAUUUAUUCCAAGAAAAGCUCAUUCGACUUUGAGUCUAGAUUACCUGUACCGUAAACCGACACAGGUGAGUGGGUUGAAUAAACUAAGGGGAGCGAGAUAACUCUCUCUAAGGAACUCGGCAAAUUGGCUCUGUACCUUCGGAAGAAAGAGUGCCCCUUCAUGGGGCCGCAGUGAAGAGAUCCAGGCGACUGUUUACCAAAAACACAGGUCUCCGCAAAGUCGUAAGACGACGUAUGGGGGCUGACACCUGCCCAGUGCCAGAAGGUUAAAGAAGUUGGUCAAUCUUUGAUGAAGCUAACAACUGAAGCCCUGGUGAACGGCGGCAGUAACUAUAACUGUCCUAAGGUAGCGAAAUUCCUUGUCGGGUAAGUUCCGACCCGCACGAAAGGUGUAACGAUCUGGAUACUGUCUCAGAGAGAGACUCGGUGAAAUAAAACUAGCUGUGAAGAUGCGGCUUACCUGCACACGGACAGAAAGACCCUAUGAAGCUUUACUGUAACCUGGAAUUGCUUUCAAGCUUAUUUUGCGCAGCUUAGGUGGGAGGCUACGAACCUUUUCUUCCGGGAAGAGGGGAGCCAUCAGUGAGAUACCACUCUUGGUAAGCUAGAAAGCUCAGUCUUAACCGUUAUCCGGUAAGACGACAGUUUCAGGCGGGCAGUUUGACUGGGGCAGUCACCUCCCAAAAGGUAAUGGAGGUGUACAAAGGUUCUCUCAGGCUGGACGGAAAUCAGCCAUAGAGUGUAAAAGCAUAAGAGAGCUUGACUGCGAGACGGACAUGUCAAGCAGAGACGAAAGUCGGUUUUAGUGAUCCGACGGUGCUGAGUGGAAAGGCCGUCGCUCAACGGAUAAAAGUUACUCUAGGGAUAACAGGCUAAUCUCCCCCAAGAGUUCACAUCGACGGGGAGGUUUGGCACCUCGAUGUCGGCUCA
rnacentral:rRNA from 1 species